rnacentral:lncRNA from 1 species
CCCGUAGCUUUCUUCGAAAGGAUGUUGUUGACAAUGAAUAUACUACUGUUUGUUGAGUGCUUUGAGUUUCUCAGAAGACAGUCGCUGUAUAAAUAGAAGAAGGGCUAGGAAAGGAGAGGCCAGACAACCAUUCGCUGAUUUCGCUGACUUACUGUUGACCAAGCAAGGCCUGAAUCAUCUCCAGCUGGACUGGUUCACCAUUGUGGGCAACAGAGGUGUUCCCCAUGGAAUUUGCAAGUGGAGAGAAGGAAGAGAAAUACCCAAGCUCUUUUCCCACAGAAGGAACCUAAAUGCCUGAUGAUAUAUUUUGAAGUGAAAUAUACCAGGAGAAAAGGCACAGAGUCUCUAAAGGCAAUCACAUAAACUAUGGUUUGCUCUCGGACCCCAGUGCAGCUUCAGGAACCAGGUGGUGACAAAGAAGGCGAAAUUGGGCGUGAAGACAUCCUUGCUGGACAGAUUCAUGAAUGGAAAAUAUUUCUUUCAG